UAUAUAUAUAUAUAUAUAUUCACAUGUAUAUUAUAUAUGUUUGUGUAUCUGUAUAUGUAUUCUAAGUGUCGAAAUAUUACUCAUAAUAAGCCAAAAGGAAUCAAAUUGAACACAAGUACAACAGAAUGUAUUUGAAAAAAAAAAAAGAAAAAUUAAUAAUGAUAAAAUGAAUUUUAAAACAAAAAUCAUAAAUUUAUGAAAAAAAGAUUUUUUACAUGUUUUUAAAAAUGCUUCAAUUGUUUGGGCUAAUUUUUUUUUUUUUUCAACAGUGGGGGUUCGGGGGAUAAAGUACAAGCUAACAGCUUGAUAAAACCAUCAAGGGAAAUAUAUUUAUAUUUUGUAUAUUUUUUUUAAAAGCUUUGAAUAUUGAGCUUUCAAAACACCUUGCUACCAUCACUGCGGAGCUUUUUUUUUCCUACUUACUGCACACAACUUUUUAUUUUACUGUAUUUCAUCCACAUGUUUUGAAAGAUAUUAUUUUUGUUUUUGUUAUUUAUCCACUGGUUAACUCUGAACAAGAACUUUUUACAAAAAUUUUAUUCCAGCGAUUCAUGUCUUUAGUUUUUGUUUGUUUUUUGUUGUUUUUUUUCUAACAAGUCAUUUUGUAAUCAAGACAUUGCAUAAUGCUUCCUUCCCCUCAUUUUUUGAAAAAGAAAAUAACUGAUUUGAGUAAAUUUUGACUACUAUUUUUGGCAAAUCAAAUGACCACAAGCAGAGUCCUUUUUUCUUUCUUUUUUUUUUCAUUCUCUUACUGGAUGUGGAGGAAUGGACAUUGCUCGUGAUUUUUACAAGCUGUUCUAGUCUGAUGAAAGUGAUAACAUUACUAGUCAGUACCACCUGACUUGCCCUCGUGCCGGUGGCAUUUAAAAGCACCCACUACCCUCUCAGAGUGGUUGGCAUUAGGAAGGGCCUCCAGCUGUAGAAACUCUGCCAGAUCAAGAGUGGAGUCUGGUGCAGCCAUCUCGUUCGCCAGUCCUCAGUCAAAUCGUUUGGCCCUUGCUAGCAUGGAAAGUGGACAUUAAACGAUAAUGACGAUGAUGAGUUGUUUUGAGCCUUUAUAAGUCAACACCUUGCAUGAAAGAGAUGGGAGGAAAUUCCAGAAGUCCAGUAUUCUGGGAAGGAAUGACUAGGCAUUACGACGACUAGUGCAAGGCUUGUGAGGAGAAGGGUUGGGAGUUGACUCAACAAAAGCAAUGAGAAGAGGAAAGAUAAGACAGGGAUGCCUGAGUAGAAGUGCAAUGUACAACAAUUCUAAUAGCAUGAUUUAAUACCAAACUUGACAGCUUAUUAGACACAUUUUUUCUCCCAGAGAAUCAAUGUAUAUACAUUUUAUAGAUACAUAGGUGGCAUUUGAGUAACUUUCAAAAGAUGAAUGGAGAAAUAGCUUACCAAAACACAGCCUUGUCUUUUAAACUCAUAGAAUUUAUAUAAGGCGGCGAGAUGGCAGAAACUUUAGAGCGCCGGGCAAAAUGCUUAGCGGUAUUUCGUCUGCUGCUACAUUCUGAGUUCAAAUUCUGCUGAGGUUGACUUUGCCUUUCAUCUUUCGGGGUUGAUAAAUUAAGUACCAGUUACGCACUGGGAUCGAUGUACUCAACUUAAUCCCUUGUCUGUCCCCUCUAUGUUUAGCCCCUUGUGGGCAAUAAAGAAAUAAGAAUUUAUUGAACAGUUGGGGGCAAACUACAGUUUGUGGCCCUUUCUGAAUGGCACAUCUAAUGAAAAAUUACCUUCAAUUUUUUUUAUAGUAGUGCAGACUACUUGAGGAUAAACCAUGUCUCAUGUGACCUAUUUCUAAAGAAUGGUUGCCCAUGCCUGUUUUAGACCAUCAGAUAUAGCUGGUUAGUCUGCAUUUCUCUCUAAGGAGUACAGGGCUGGUUUCUCUGGCAUAUAUAUUCCUCCCUGUGUGGGACAACAAUCCAUCACAGGAUUACUCAUUUUUAAAACCAACUGAGAGGACUGAAGCAACAUAAAAUGAAGUGUUUUGCUCAAGAACACUACACAUCACUCAGUCUUGGAAUCGAAACCACAAUCUUACAUUAGAUAUAGUGCUACACGCAUAUACACUCACACACCGUUUCUUUAGGAAGUUUCUACAUAGUCAAUUGAUGUGGAGGGCAUAAAUAAAUCAUCCUCAAAUCAUACCCUGUCAUCUGAAAAAAAAAAAAAGAAUGGUAGGAUACAUUAUAGGAUGCAGUCCUUACAUGGCUAAAAAGAUGGUUUGGUCAUGGCUGGAAUGAUUUUGGUCAUAUGGCUUCUUUUUGUAGUUGAUCUUUGGUUAAACAAUAAUAAGUACUUCAAAUACAUACACAUAAUACUAAUAUACUCACAACACACACCGUGUCUCCAGCAGGAUAUAAAACUUAUAACCUAAAUACUGCCUUAUCUUUGGAACACAUAGUGUGUGUGUGUGUGAGUGAGUGUGUGUGUGUGUAUGUAUGUGUGA
rnacentral:lncRNA from 1 species